AGCGUAGGCGGAUUUUUUAAGUGAGAUGUGAAAUACUCGGGCUUAACCUGAGUGCUGCAUUUCAAACUGGAAGUCUAGAGUGCAGGAGAGGAGAAGGGAAUUCCUAGUGUAGCGGUGAAAUGCGUAGAGAUUAGGAAGAACACCAGUGGCGAAGGCGCUUCUCUGGACUGUAACUGACGCUGAGGCUCGAAAGCGUGGGGAGCAAACA
rnacentral:rRNA from 1 species